CAAUGUCAGAGUGUUUGCAGGCAUUCCUCCUGGCUGUCCACACUUCUGCCACAAUAGCUCGAGUUUUGUGUUCUCUCCUCUCAGGGUUUCUGCUGUGGAUGGAUGUCAUUGCUGUGGCUCUGUUUGCCAUGGAGCAAAGGGACAUUCAUGGGCCACAAAAAAUCUGGGGACAGAGCCCUGCCAUUUCACCACUGCUGUAAAAGGGGCAGCUUUUAGUGAGCCCUCUCCUCCCGACCACCAGGUCUUGCACUUCACCAGGGGCUGUGAGUAAAGCUGAGCAGAAUGAAAAUCGUUUCCACGGCACUAAUCACUUUAAGAAUUUCAAGCCUGGAUGCCAGGAGGGUGAUGAAUAAGAGCUAAACCACCUUGAUGGAUCUUGAAGUUUCACUGGAAUUUCCCUUGCCUUGAAAAUGGAGUCCAGCCACGAUAAGAAUUGCGACAGCUUUCUUCACUGAUGGACCUUCAAAGAGAUCCCUCCUUCCAGGUGUAUCAGACAGGAGAUUCCGAGGAGAAGGAGGUCUGUGUGAUAACAGAGCAGUGUGGCAUUUCUGAACACCACAGGGGCACCCACUGUGGAAAAGAAGCCCCUACCUACAUUUUUAUGGUCUGUCCACAGAUGAAAAGGUGCCUUGACAAGAUGUCCUUCUUCGUACUCUAAACAUGAAACCUGUAAUUAAAUAGGAAAAACGAAGUUACCAAGCACUCACAGAAAAAGAACCAUCAUGUUUGCCAGAUUUUUAUCAGUGAAAUCUGAGAUCAAAUGGAGCUUGGACAUCAGAAACUGGCAUAGACCCCAUGCGUUGUGAUUUUUCAAGCUUCAGAUGGGUCCUACCUGAUGCAUGGUCUCCUGCUUUGGAUCCACGGAGCUUCAGCUGUGCCUCGUGGGUUUUGGACACGAAACUCAGCAAUGGACUACUCUGCCCAAGAGCUCAUGCAAAGUAACACCAGAGAUUAUCUUUUAUGGUCAAACACAUUUUAAUCUCUUCAAACAGAAGGCAUUGGAUGUUCGCAGAUGAAGGUGUCUUGAAAAUGUUGUCCAGGGAGGUCCUUGCAGUGCUCUGGUUUGUUUUAGGGCCUCUUUUGUCCUGUUUAAACCAUGAAAGCACAAUUUACAGCUCAUGCAGUAAGGCACGCUGUGUGUGCUGAAUGAAUUUUAUUCAUAUGAGGAACAGACUCAGAUUUCUUAAGCUGAUAGUGUUUUCAGUAUUACCUUAAAAGUCCUCUAUACAAUGUUUAAAAAAAAAUUUGAAACCUAAAGUUUCUUAUAAAUACAUUUUUCAAGAUGUAGGAGGAAAUUUCUAUGUGUUUCUGCUCCUAAAAAUGAUAUUAGCAUUAUUUUAUUGACAUUGAUUCCAGCUUUGUUGCAAUAACUUUCUUCUGGUGCUGUGGUCUUUGCUAUGACUUGGCUAGACUUGUCUAGAAAACCAAAAUUAGAAGAAGAGUUGCAGUUCAGAAAAUAUUUAUUGCUAUACUAAUUACAUGUAAAAGUAAUUUAUACAAAUCAUAUAUUGCAAAAUUCCUCCAGGAAAAAUAAAAAAGCCCCCACAUAGUAGUUGGAAUAAAACAGCUGGUUACCUUUCAGUUUUAUUGGCAUGAACACUGUGAUUGCAUCAAGCCAACUCCUCAGCUAAUGAAAACUAGCAAAGCUCUAUUGCCUCCAGUACCCACUGCUUCAACCAGAAAUAAAUCUUUGGCUCUCACAUUGUAUGUGCAAGGCAAGUAAAUUUAGGGAUUUUUUUUUUUUUUUUUUAGAUAAAAAAGAAAAAGACAAAAACUACUGGCUGAAAGUUUUCCCAUGUAGGGAAGUAACACACCCCAGGCCAGGCACCUCCCUGUGGUUUGGGGUGGAGGUUGAAAUAAAAAUGAGGGGUCUGGGAUGGAAACUGGGCAGUGAGCAGAUGAUCCCACAUCUCGUGCAAAUGUCCUGCCUAUUAUUUAUUCAGUGUACUGAUUAUUAUUUUAAGGCUUUUAUUUUCUAAUUGCUCAUGGCUGUACCAGAGUGUAUUUUACAUAUAUGUAUUUGUAUAUAUCUUUAGUCAGCAGAGCUUCCCCUAAAUAAAACUAAAAAUGCUUCUUAAAGUCCCUGGGAGUUUGGAGGUACCGGCUUAAACCAGGCAAGCCAUGAAGAAAAUCAAUGAAAAAGGAAAAAACAGAACAGUGUACAUGUGCUGUUAUCUCUCCAAUAACUUCAGCAUAAUAAGGUUAGAGAGGAAACUCAGCUAAUCAUUGUACAUUUUUCUUAUUAAAAAAAAAAAAGGAAAAGUUCCUCACAAAACCAUGGGAAUUAAUGUAACUGGUUUCAGUGAAUUAAGGAAAUCAUGUGUGACAUUCUUUUGUGAAAAAAAAUCCCUUCUCUUUUCCUUAGCUCUCCAUUUUCAGCUCUAUACAUUGAAAAACCAUGUGGGUCAUAUCUAAUUAAAUGUGGACUCCUCUGACAAAGCAUUUUUGCCUGGUUUUAGAUAGCAGCAAUCUGUAACUGAUGUGAUCAAUUCUUCCACAUCUGCCACAGACACAAUGUGUUCUGUAAGGCACACAGGCCUGGGGCUGUGAGAAUUCAUUUCAGCUCCCAGCUGGGCACAGUGCACCCAGAAUGGUUCUUUUCUGCCCAGUUUGGGUUUUCCCAGCUCUGAAACAACUUCUCCAUCUCCAGGUACUGCUGUCUGGCUGAAUAUGUUUAUGAAUGUAAGGUGCUUAGAUGAGUCUGUGGACAGAUAAGUGAAAAGUGAAUUAAAACUCUUCAUUUCAUUAAUGUCUCAGUCUUUAACUGCCUCUCCACACUAAUAAAAUGUUAGAAAUAUA